rnacentral:rRNA from 1 species
AACGAACGCUGGCGGCAUGCCUAACACAUGCAAGUCGAACGAGACCUUCGGGUCUAGUGGCGCACGGGUGCGUAACGCGAGGGAACCUGCCCUCAGGUUCGGCAUAACUCUCCGAAAGGGGUGCUAACACCGGACAAUGUCUUCGGCCCAAAGAUUUAUCGCCUUUGGUGGGACCCGCGUUGGAUUAGCUGGUUGGUAGGGUAAAAGCCUACCACGGCGACGAUUCAUAGCUGGGCUGAGAGGAUGAUCAGCCACACUGGGACUGAGAAGCGGCCCAGACUCCUACGGGAGGGAGCAGUGGGGGAUAUUGGACAAUGGGCGAAAGCCUGAUCCAGCAAUGCCGCGUGAGUGAUGAAGGCCUUAGGGUUGUAAAGCUCUUUUACCCGGGAUGAUAAUGACAGUACCGGGAGAAUAAGCCCCGGCUAACUCCGUG